UACGAAGGGGGCUAGCGUUGCUCGGAAUUACUGGGCGUAAAGCGCACGUAGGCGGCUCUUUAAGUCAGGGGUGAAAUCCUGGAGCUCAACUCCAGAACUGCCUUUGAUACUGGCGAUCUUGAGUCCGGGAGAGGUGAGUGGAACUGCGAGUGUAGAGGUGAAAUUCGUAGAUAUUCGCAAGAACACCAGUGGCGAAGGCGGCUCACUGGCCCGGUACUGACGCUGAGGUGCGAAAGCGUGGGGAGCAAACAGG
rnacentral:rRNA from 1 species